rnacentral:rRNA from 1 species
GGUGAGUCGGGUCCUAAGGCGAGGCCGACAGGCGUAGUCGAAUGGAUGAACGGGUGGAUAUUCCCGUACCGACCAUGGACCGGCAAAACCGAGACGGUGAGUACUAACCUCCGCCUCGUGGUGGUUCCUUCCUUCGGGUUGGUUCCGCCGCGUGGUGUUGGGAGCGUAGCCGCAGUAGGUCAGCGCAGGGGUGACACGGAAUGGGAGCCGGCCGCGGAGGUGGUUUUCCGUGGUCAAGCACGCAGCCAGUCAUGUAGGCAAAUCCGCAUGGCGCGCAUGGCGAGGUGUGAUGAUGGGAGCCGUUAUGGCUCGAUAUCCGGUUGUCCAGGCCGUCGAGAAAAGCCUCGGCGUGAGGGCCAUGGCCGCCCGUACCCCAAACCGACACUGGUGGUCAGGUAGAGAAUACCAAGGCGAUCGAGCGAAUCCUGGUCAAGGAACUCGGCAAAUCACUCCCGUGCCUUCGGUAUAAGGGAGACCCGCUGGGGUGAACCGGCUAGCCCGGGGAGCUUUGGUGGGUGGCACAGACCAGGGGGUAGCGACUGUUUACCAAAAACACAGGUGCAUGCGAAGGCGAAAGCCGCUGUAUAUGCACUGACGCCUGCCCGGUGCCGGAAGGUUAAGAGGAUCCGUCAAUCCCUUCGGGGACGAAGCGGUGAAUUCAAGCCCCGGUAAACGGCGGUGGUAACUAUAACCAUCCUAAGGUAGCGAAAUUCCUUGUCGGGUAAGUUCCGACCUGCACGAAUGGCGUAACGACUUCCCCACUGUCUCGACCAGGAGCUCGGCGAAAUUGCAGUACGAGUAAAGAUGCUCGUUAAGCGCAGAAGGACGAAAAGACCCCGGGACCUUUACUAUACCUUGGUAUUGGCGUUAGGCGCGGAUUGUGUAGCAUAGGCGGGAGGCUUCGAAGCGGGUGCGCCAGCAUUCGUGGAGCCGCAAGGUGAAAUACCGCUCUGUUCUCGUUUGACGUCUAACCUCGACAAGUCAUCCUUGUCAGGGACAGUGCCUGGCGGGUAGUUCAACUGGGGCGGUUGCCUCCCAAAGAGUAACGGAGGCGCUCAAAGGUCCGCUCAGCCCGGUUGGCAAUCGGGUGUCGAGUGUAAUCGCACAAGCGGGCUUGACUGCGAGAUCGACGGAUCGAGCAGGGACGAAAGUCGGAGAUAGUGAUCCGGUGCCGGCGCACGGGCGCGGCAUCGCUCAACGGAUAAAAGGUACCCCGGGGAUAACAGGCUGAUCAUUCC